AUUGAACGCUGGCGGCAUGCCUUACACAUGCAAGUCGAACGGCAGCACGGGUGCUUGCACCUGGUGGCGAGUGGCGAACGGGUGAGUAAUACAUCGGAACAUGCCCUGUAGUGGGGGAUAGCCCGGCGAAAGCCGGAUUAAUACCGCAUACGAUCCACGGAUGAAAGCGGGGGACCUUCGGGCCUCGCGCUAUAGGGUUGGCCGAUGGCUGAUUAGCUAGUUGGUGGGGUAAAGGCCUACCAAGGCGACGAUCAGUAGCUGGUCUGAGAGGACGACCAGCCACACUGGGACUGAGACACGGCCCAGACUCCUACGGGAGGCAGCAGUGGGGAAUUUUGGACAAUGGGCGAAAGCCUGAUCCAGCAAUGCCGCGUGUGUGAAGAAGGCCUUCGGGUUGUAAAGCACUUUUGUCCGGAAAGAAAUCCUUGACUCUAAUACAGUCGGGGGAUGACGGUACCGGAAGAAUAAGCACCGGCUAACUACGUG
rnacentral:rRNA from 1 species